UUAUAUCUCCCCUCUAUCCACAAGAGGACCCCAAAAUUAUACUGACUUGCCCCAGCUAUGAACCUACAUAAAUGAAUUUAACUGUCUACCCCUCAGGACCAGAAGUUGGUAAUUUCUCAUGAGCAACAGAGAAGAACAGAAGGGACAGACUUUGGGGCUCAUCAAGCAACAAGCUCUCUGAUAAAGUUUUUUAAAAAAGACAAAAGAUGUGGACCACAAAGGACCCUUUGAGAAGCAUAGGCCUAAAUGAUCUUGGGUCCCUUCUCAAUUCUUACUGUAACAUCCUGUCACUUUAAAGGCUUUUCCUUCUGUGACUGCAGCUGUUACGACUGCUCUUCUUCAAGGGCUGGUUCCAGCGCCACGGAGCAAGUGCAUCCUGAGUCACUCCGACAUCUCCCUACCGUCACACAUUUUUGGACCCUAUCAAAUACCUACUCAAACAACAUGAGGCGUGUUCUGGUGUAAAUGUUUAUUUUCCCCAAUAAAUCUGUUUUUUUUUGUUGUUGAAAA